rnacentral:rRNA from 1 species
AUUGAACGCUGGCGGCAGGCCUAACACAUGCAAGUCGAGCGGAUGAAGGGAGCUUGCUCCUGGCUUCAGCGGCGGACGGGUGAGUAAUGCCUAGGAAUCUGCCUGGUAGUGGGGGAUAACGUCCGGACACGGGCGCUAAUACCGCAUACGUCCUGAGGGAGAAAGUGGGGGAUCUUCGGACCUCACGCUAUCAGAUGAGCCUAGGUCGGAUUAGCUAGUUGGUGGGGUAAAGGCCUACCAAGGCGACGAUCCGUAACUGGUCUGAGAGGAUGAUCAGUCACACUGGAACUGAGACACGGUCCAGACUCCUACGGGAGGCAGCAGUAGGGAAUAUUGGACAAUGGGCGAAAGCCUGAUCCAGCCAUGCCGCGUGUGUGAAGAAGGUCUUCGGAUUGUAAAGCACUUUAAGUUGGGAGGAAGGGCAGUAAGUUAACACCUUGCUGUUUUGACGUUACCAACAGAAUAAGCACCGGCUAACUUCGUG